rnacentral:lncRNA from 1 species
GCGGGACCUCCAGCGGCUUGGAGGAGGCUGAGUGGGAAGCACGUUCCUACCCAGGCUGAGCACUUCACACAGGGGGCUGGGCCAGAGGGAGAGCUGCCUGCCCCGGAGACCCCUACCUGCCUUCCUGUGCUGGCACAGCCAUGCCCAGCCUCCGCUGGACAGCUUGGACUGAGGUUUCCUUGUGGUGGCCCCUCCCCAGAGUGUCUCCCGGGGGCACAGGCCCUGGCGGCAUGCACGUCACCCGGGGGGCUUUUAACAGAGACCAGCAACCCUCCCACAGAGGACUGGGGAGCCGGCCCGUGGCUGGCGUGGGGGAGGCAGGCACUACCCAGCCAUGCCGGGUGGACAGGCAUUUUCCACAGCUCGGGAAACGGAGCCGGGCCAGGAAGGUUGGAGCUCAGCUCUUGGGUGAGAGCCGCGGAGCCCUGGCUGAGCCUCACCUGCGCUCGGAGCCCGUUUCCUUUUCUGUCAAAUUCACAAUGGGAUCUGGCCCUUGACUCCACCCCAGCAGCACCAAAGACACCGCCCUGCACUCAUUACAUUUCCUC